rnacentral:tRNA from 1 species
GGCCGAAUGGUGUAGUGGUUAUCACGUGUCCUUCACACGGACAAGGUCCUGAGUUCGACCCUCAGUUUGGUCA